UACAGAGGUCCCAAGCGUUGUUCGGAUUCACUGGGCGUAAAGCGCGCGUAGGCGGGUUGGUAAGUCCGCUGUGAAAGCCCGGAGCUCAACUCCGGAGGGUCGGUGGAUACUGCCAGUCUUGAAGGUGCUAGGGGGAGAUGGAAUUACCGGUGUAGCGGUGAAAUGCGUAGAUAUCGGUAGGAACACCAGUGGCGAAGGCGGUCUCCUGGGGCAUUCUUGACGCUGAGGCGCGAAAGCUGGGGGAGCGAACGGG
rnacentral:rRNA from 1 species